ACCCUGGAGGUGUUGUACGUGUGGCUGUGUCACACGGGCAUCAGCAGGUGAAAGACAGGAGUGAAGCUAUGUCUAUGCUCAGUGUUCUGACCUAUGAACAUGUAAAUGGGUAGUAGCUUAACAUU